UGAAAACUUGCCUUGCGAAGCCAAAAGUGAAUGACUUUGAGCUGUUAACCCUCAACGUUUUUAUAUAUAGUAGGCGCCGCUCAAGAUGCACGUGAAGCGUGACAUGGAAAUUCACUGAUGUGUUGCAAAAUUCCACGGGAAAUAAAACUGGUUGAACGAGUUUCCCUGCCAGGUUCCCUCCAUAACCCUAUUCCGCGUGCUACCCGGAAUCCCUAAAUAUCCCAACAAAAUUCCCACGGAAGCAAUAAAUUGAUUAUUCGCUGAAGCAAAUAACUCCUUUAUCGCUUCCGCGGUAGCAAGCAAUGCAUAACCUAAACUUUAGCGGCAAUUUAUC
rnacentral:lncRNA from 1 species